AUAUAAAAAUAUAAAUACAAAUAAAAUGUAUUAUACAACCAUAUAAAUACAUAUCCACAUUCAUAUAUACAUAUAUUAAUGCAUAUGUGUGUUAUACGAGUAUUGUGUUCAUUAUUUUAUAUUUAAAAAAAAAUUAAAAACACUUCAAAUUUAAUUUUACAAAAAAAAAAAUAUGCAUCUUAAAGCAAAUUCUUAAUAUUUGAGUAUACAUGUUUGGGCUAGUUAUAGAAUUACAGUUGGAAAACGUAAGAGCGAGAGUGUUAAUAUACGUCCAAAUGCAUUUACAUGUGUGAUAACAACAUUUAUAAGACUAAUACAGAUGUAUGCGUGUUGUUUACUUGAACAAAAGAAAUUCCUACUUUUAUAAGAUCUUUUAACAUUAAAACGAUAACUAUACGUAUAGUACAAAUUAAGACUCAAACAUGAGAGAAAUUAUAGUAUUUGGAGUCAUAGUUGGGUUAAUCAUAUUAUUUGGAUUACUAGUCAGAUGCUAUUACCUUUUCCUUCGACCUAAAUGUUUUAAUGAAAAUGAUAGCGAGACUACAGAAAGAACACUAACGGAACCCUUAAAUGAUAUAAACACAACAACUAAACAAACUGUGUAAAAAAUAAGAAAAUGCCCACGAUCAAAUUUGCCAAAAUUAAUUAAAUAUUUUGUUAAUAUUAAUAUACUGUCAUUUUAAGUGCAUUUCCUUAGAUAAUUUAUGAUAUUUUAUUUUGUUAUAAGAAUAAAUUUUAAAUAAAUAAAUUUUUGGUAGUUUUGA